rnacentral:rRNA from 1 species
UGGGGAAUCUUGCGCAAUGGGCGAAAGCCUGACGCAGCGACGCCGCGUGGGGGAUGAAGCAUUUCGGUGUGUAAACCCCUUUCGACUGGGACGAAUGCCUCGCAAGAGGAGUGACGGUACCAGUAGAAGAAGCCCCGGCUAACUACGUGCCAGCAGCCGCGGUAAGACGUAGGGGGCCAGCGUUGUUCGGAAUUACUGGGUGUAAAGGGUUCGUAGGCGGUGUGGCAAGUUGGGAGUGAAAUCUCUGGGCUUAACCCAGAGGCUGCUUCCAAAACUGCUGUGCUUGAGUGUGGGAGAGGCGCGUGGAAUUGCAGGUGUAGCGGUGAAAUGCGUAGAUAUCUGCAGGAACACCCGUGGCGAAAGCGGCGCGCUGGACCACAACUGACGCUGAGGAACGAAAGCUAGGGGAGCAAACAGGAUUAGAUACCCUGGUAGUCCUAGCCCUAAACGAUCAGGACUUGGGGUGCCACUCGUUCGGGUGUCGUCCCGGAGCUAACGCGUUGAGUCCUGCACCUGGGGAGUACGGUCGCAAGACUG